CAACGGCAGCCUGUUAUGGCAGCUCCUAUCAUUGUUGUAGUUUUAAUGGGUUUUCAGUGUGUUUUUAGCUAUUUUUAACCGUUUUCUUACUUUCUUACUUUCUUACUACUUUGUUCACGUCGCCUAAAUACUUUUUUGGGCGUUUUUGAGCACUUUUUAUUUUUUGUUUGCACGGGUCUCCAUGGCGACGGGGAGUCGCAUUGUUUACACCUGUGACCAGAUGAUCACCCUGAGGUACCCGAGCAUCCUGACCGGAGAGAGACCCUCCAUACCGGUGGAGCUGAGGAGACGGCGAGGCUGCAGAGUGGGGGUUAAACGGAGGAUGAAGAAGAGGAGCUUUAAACCCUACAAACGUGGCUGUACGAGCAGAUACCGGACUCCAACGUCACCAUUCCCGGCUUCCAGGCGGUUCGAGCCGACAGGGACACCACCGCAACCGGCAUGAAGGAAGGAGGGGGACUGUCCGUGCUCAUAAACAACAGGUGGUGUAACGCCGGUGCUUUGUUGAAGUUUUUUGGCCCACAACAACAACAACAACAACAACAGCAGCAACAGCAGCAGCAACAGCAGACCUCUACACAUCGAAGUAGGAACUUAUUUAGUUUCCUUUUUAAAGUUAAGAUUACAGUGACUUGCUCUCCCAUUUAAAAUAUAUCAUGGGAUCGAUCUGAUUUAAUAUGACAACACAAAUAUUUUUCUUAAUGUUGUAAUGAUAUUCGGAGAUCCUUAGAUAUGGAAGACAUAGUGGCUGCAUUUGCAAAAGCCAAGGCCCGCAAGCAGCAGUUUUAGGGGAAAAAAGGCACUUCUAUUGGACUGUGAAUGUAGGACCAAGGUGUCACAGCAAGUCUUAAGUUCUACCUUUCCACUUUAAUUCCUUGUUUGUUUGUUUUUUUUUUUCUUGGUUGUGUUUUUAUCAUUCUGAAAAAGUUGCACAUUAAAGUUAUGUUUGAUUUUCUGUUAUUUAUAUAUUGUAUGUAAAGUUUGCAUUCAGAUAGUUAUGUUAUUAUUGAUUUUAUUAUGUUAUUGUUUAAUAAAACUGCACACACCAAGGCA